rnacentral:rRNA from 1 species
UACAGAGGGGGCAAGCGUUGUUCGGAAUUACUGGGCGUAAAGGGCUCGUAGGUGGCCAACUAAGUCAUACGUGAAAUCCCUCGGCUUAACCGGGGAACUGCGUCUGAUACUGGAUGGCUUGAGGUUGGGAGAGGGAUGCGGAAUUCCAGGUGUAGCGGUGAAAUGCGUAGAUAUCUGGAGGAACACCGGUGGCGAAGGCGGCAUCCUGGACCGGCAUUGACGCUGAGGAGCGAAAGCCAGGGGAGCAAACGGG